GGCCGUGGCGAAGCAACCGAAUGGUUGUAUCGCCCAGAGGCCUUACGCCAACAAACCCGGCUUCCGUAUUUCAAGCCCCCAUGAGUGUCAGGAUCCACUCAGGGGUCAUCCGGCUCCACAGAGACCUAAAAUCUUUCGCCCUUAUCCUCGUCUAUUUCUUGGUUGUGGAGUGCCAUUCUCUGCCCGCAACAAGGUGCCCGUACUUUAAAAGAAAAACAACCUAAAUAAUCUAAGCUACUGCACUUCAAGCUUUUAUAUGAUAUCAGGCUGACAAGGUUUCCCAGCAUAUUUAUGGCUUUAGCUGGCGCAGAGUAUGCUGCUAAGCUGAACAGGCAUGCUUGCCCGAAGGGCGGCGGUCGUUGACCGCUCGGACUGCUAUCGUCCACCUUCUGCAAUGCAUGCAUAGGAAUGUACAGCUGAAUGUUUAAUGUUACCUAAAAUCUCUGCUGAUUUAACGCUCGCAGGUAAAUUUUGGAGCAUGC
rnacentral:lncRNA from 1 species